GACGAACGCUGGCGGCGUGCUUAACACAUGCAAGUCGAACGGAAAGGCCCUGCUUGCAGGGUACUCGAGUGGCGAACGGGUGAGUAACACGUGGGUGCUCUGCCCUGCACUUCGGGAUAAGCCUGGGCAACUGGGUCUAAUACCGGCUAGGAGCCAUUUUUAGUGUGAUGGUUGGAAAGCUUUUUCGGUGUCGGAUGAGCUCGCGGCCUAUCAGCUUGUUGGUGGGGGAAUGGCCUACCAAGGCGGCGACGGGUAGCCGGCCUGAGAGGGUGGACGGCCACAGUGGGACUGGGAGACGGCACAGACCCCGACGGGAGGCAGCAGGGGGGAAGAGUGAAAAAGGGGAGCAAGCCUGAUGCAGAGACGCCGAGGGGGGGAGGACGGACUUCGGGUUGGAAACGCAUUUCGCUAGGGACGAAGCUUUUUGUGACGGUACCUAGAUAAGAAGCACCGGCUAACUACGUG
rnacentral:rRNA from 1 species